AGUAUUUUUUUAAACCAGAGAUUUUUCUAAACAAAGAAAGAAAAAGGAAAACUGAAGUUCAGAACAGCAAGGAGGAUAUCCAAGGAGUGUGGCAUGGGGCCCAUCUUUCCUCUCUCUAUUUAUAAGAAAACCUCGGAAAACAACAACCAACCAAAGUUCAUUUUUAUUUCUAACAUUUUAAUUUACUGGAGUCAUGGAGCAUAGUACCCUCCUCUGUGCCAUCUUUGACUCUCAUGCCUCUCUUCCUUUUUUCACUCUUUCCUCUUCUUUCACACAAGAAGGAGAGGAACUCGGAAAGACAGCUAUCCUCAGAGUCAAGAAGAUGGAGAUUCCAGGCCCACCUUUGACACAUACAGGGUCAAAGAAUCUCAAGACAGUCAAUGGAACUAUUCAGGCCAGGGGACAGAAAAGAGUACUCUUUCUCCUUCACUCUCCUAUACAAGUACUUCUAAUAGGAAAGUAAACAAGUGCUUCUCUCAACUCCACCUGCCUUACUGCUGUUUUGGUGCUGAGCAUCUCAGAAGGCAAACAAUUCCCCCUUCUCAAGGCUGAACUAAAAUUAGGCUCCACCUGCAAGAUGUUAAUGAAAUCUUACACAGCUGCAUUCCAGAAACAAGUUCCCCAGAUUGCUUUUUCAAAGAUCUGUGACAGAAGCAAACUUGUUAGUUUCUUUAUUUUUUUUUGCCCAACUCCAAAAAAUGUAUUAUUAAUUUUAAUGGUAAUUAUUAGCAACAAUAACCAACUGAUAAGUCAUUUCAAAAAUAGAUAUAAUAUCAGCAAAUGGGAAAUCGGCUGUAAUUUCAUGCCCACA